UUUAAUUCGAGGCUACACGAAGAACCUUACCAGGGUUUGACAUGCAAGUGGUAGGAAUCCGAAAGGUGACCGACCCUUCGGGAGCUUGCACAGGUGCUGCAUGGCUGUCGUCAGCUCGUGUCGUGAGAUGUUCGGUUAAGUCCGCUAACGAGCGCAACCCUCGUCGUGUGUUAUACGUGUCACACGAUACUGCCGGUAUCAAGCCGGAGGAAGGUGGGGAUGAUGUCAAGUCAGCAUGGCCUUUAUAUCCUGGGCUACACACACGCUACAAUGGCAGAUACAAUAGGUUGCGAAACCGCGAGGUGGAGCCAAUCCUCAAAGUCUGUCUCAGUUCAGAUUGUAGGCUGCAACUCGCCUGCAUGAAGUUGGAGUUGCUAGUAAACGCAGGUCAGCUAUACUGCGUUGAAUACGUUCCCGGGGUUU
rnacentral:rRNA from 1 species